AUGGCGCUCUCCAGCUGGAGCAUGCGCCUCCCCUACAGCCCCUCCCGCCCCACCCUGAACCCUCGCCGCAGCCGCCUCCUCUUCAGCCCCUCCGUCCCCAUCCUGAACCCUCGCCCCAGCCGCCUCCCCGCCACGUCCCACGUGGCCGAUUCCGGCCGACGCCGCUGCCUCCGCCUGGGCCGCCCGCCCCAUGCGUACAUCUCGGCGCCGGCGCCCGGCCCCGACGCCUACCAGUCCCCCUCCUUCGACGCCGCAGAGGCGGCUGCCGAUGUGGCCGCCGCCAUCUCCUCAACUGACGCCAUCACCUGGGCUGGCGUCUGGGCCCUCCUGUCGCAGCACAAGGCCCGCUUGGCGAUCUCCCUGGCCGCGCUCCUGGCGUGCACGACCAGCACCCUCUCCAUGCCGCUCUUCUCAGGGAGGUUCUUCGAAACCCUGAUAGGGAGGGGGUCCGAACCCCUAACGAGGCUCUUGUCCAAAAUCGCGGUAUUAUACACACUGGAGCCGAUAUUUACCAUCGUCUUUGUGAUCAACAUGACGGUGGUCUGGGAGAAAGUGAUGGGGAGACUGCGGAGCCAGAUAUUUCGGAGGAUUCUGAUCCAAAAGAUGGUAUUUUUUGAUCGUCACAAGGUCGGCGAGUUAACUGGAUUGUUGACAUCUGAUUUAGGUUCUUUGAAGGGUGUAGUAAGUGACAACAUAUCAAGAGAUCGUGGGCUAAGGGCAUUCUCUGAGAUCACUGGUACACUGUGUAUACUUUUCACAUUAUCCACUGAGCUUGCUCCUGUUCUAGGACUCCUCAUAGUCUCUGUCUCCGUAAUAGUUGCUAUUUUCAAGAGGUCAACUGUCCCCACCUUUAAAUCUUACGGAAUUGUCCAAGCUCAUAUAUCAGACUGCGUGUCAGAAACAUUUUCAGCCAUCCGUACUGUUAGGUCAUUUGGUGGCGAGAAACGACAAAUUUCUAUGUUUGACAACUUGGCACUUUCUUUUCAAAAUAGCGGCACAAAGCUAGGAGUGCUGAAAGCUGCCAAUGAGUCAUUGACUCGAGUGGUAGUUUAUGUUUCCCUAAUGGCGCUUUACAUUCUUGGUGGAAGCAAAGUCAGUGCGGGCAAGUUGUCUAUUGGAACCAUGGCAUCUUUUAUUGGUUACACAUUCACACUGACCUUUGCUGUUCAAGGAGCUGUUAAUACCCUAGGUGAUCUGCGUGGGACAUUUGCUUCUAUAGAGAGAAUAAAUUCUGUUCUGUCAGCAAAGGACAUUGAUGAUUCACUUGCGUAUGGUUUAGCCAAAGAACUUGACAAUAAAGAAACUGAAGAUUCUAAUGGUAGAGUGCAUGAAAAGGGCACUGUUAACACACGUUACAUGUCAGCAUUGAAAUCUUCAAGCAGCUGUAGUGAUCUAGCCUGGUCUGGAGACAUUCACCUGGAAGAUGUUCAUUUCUCCUAUCCACUGAGAUCUGAUGUGGAUGUCUUAAAUGGGCUUGAUCUUGUAAUUGAGUGUGGAAAAGUCACAGCACUUGUUGGCUCUAGUGGUGCUGGGAAAAGUACAGUGGUGCAACUUUUAGCGCGGUACUAUGAGCCUACUCAAGGUCGCAUCACGGUGGCAGGGGAAGACAUUCGUGUAUUUGAUAAAAGAGAAUGGUCUCAAAUUGUAUCCCUAGUGAAUCAGGACCCUGUCCUAUUCUCGGCAUCUGUCGGCGAAAACAUUGCUUAUGGUCUUCCAGAUGACGUUGUCUCCAAGGAUGAGAUAAUAAAAGCUGCCAAAGCUGCCAAUGCUCAUGAAUUCAUCAUCUCGCUUCCACAGGGCUAUGAUACUCUUGUGGGAGAACGAGGUAGCCUCCUAAGUGGGGGACAGAGACAGAGAAUUGCAAUUGCCCGAGCUCUUCUGAAAAAUGCUCCUUUUCUAAUACUUGAUGAGGCUACAAGUGCACUGGACACAACAAGUGAGCGGCUUGUGCAGGAAGCUCUCGAUCUCUUGAUGAAGGGUAGGACUUCUUUGGUGAUCGCCCACAGGUUGAGCACCGUGCAAAACGCGCACCGAAUCGCCGUCUGCUCAGAUGGCAAGAUCAUGGAACUUGGGACGCACGCGGAAUUGGUCGCCAAGGGAGGCAGUUAUGCAGCACUUGUAGGCACGCAAAGGCUUGCGUUUGAGUAA
rnacentral:rRNA from 1 species